CACAGACCAACCUAACCCAGACCACUGAAAUUCUAAACUCUGAAAUUCUAAGCUUCAGCGUCCCAAGCUGGGAGACACCGAGACCGGCCCUGACCCCGCCAUGGGCCCCGGGCCAUUGUGGUUGGUGGCCGUUUGUGUCCUGGGAGCAGGCCCUGCAGACGCUGGAAUCACCCAGACCCCCAGACACCUGGUCACCGGCCGGCAACAGAACGUGACCCUGCACUGUGAGCAGGACCAGAACCACGAUGCCAUGUACUGGUACCGGCAGGACCCGGGACAAGGCCCCCAGACGCUCUUCUACUUCUACUAUGAGAAACUCCAAGAUAAUAACACGGUCCCCGAGAGAUUCUUUCCUGAGCAGCCAAAAAAAUCUGUCCGCCUCACAGUGAGAGUGCUGGCCCCGGAGGACUCGGCUGUGUAUCUCUGCGCCAGCAGCAAGGACACAGCGCUGCAGGGCCUGGCCCUCCCCGUGCACAAACAGACCCCUCUCCAAAGCUGCCAGGAGCAGAGACCCCCGCCCCAUUUCAAAGGGACUCAGGAACACCCACCCCGAUGGAGCCUCUGACCUUGGGGUCCUCUCUCUUUCCCCCUAGCCCAAACCGACCCCUUCCCAAAGCCGCCAGGAUGGGGAGGGGCUGCCAGGAGCAAAGACCCCUGCUCCAUUCCAUAGGGUUUCAGGAACACUCACACUCACACUCACCUUUUCCCACAGCCCACCUCUGCCUCCUCCCCACUGCGCCCCUCGAUGCCCUCAGACCCGGCUUUUCCAGCCUCUCCUUUUGUCCGGCGCCUACAGCAGCUCCCACUGAGGUCAGAGACACUUCCCCCUGUUUCCUGCCCCAACGGGCCCGCUGAAGGAGGGGAGGGAGCCCAGAGCGGGGAGCAGGAGGAGGCGGGAUACCACAGAAUGGAGCUUGCAUAUGAUCUCAAGCUCUUAGAGAAACAGUGUGGCUUAGUGAA